UAUGAUUAAUGUAGUGGUGACGCUACUUUUCUGUGAUGGAGGAAGCGGCAGCAACAUGCAGAAUAAUAAAAGGGGGAAUAUGAAAAACACCAAGAGUCAGAAUGUUCAAACUA